AAUAGAUACCCGGGUAGUCCACGCCGUAAACGAUGAGUGCUAAGUGUUGGGGGGGUUUCCGCCCCUCAGUGCUGCAGCUAACGCAUUAAGCACUCCGCCUGGGGAGUACGGUCGCAAGACUGAAACUCAAAGGAAUUGACGGGAGCCCGCACAAGCGGUGGAGCAUGUGGUUUAAUUCGAAGCAACGCGAAGAACCUUACCAGGUCUUGACAUCCCGGUGACCACUAUGGAGACAUAGUUUCCCCUUCGGGGGCAACGGUGACAGGUGGUGCAUGGUUGUCGUCAGCUCGUGUCGUGAGAUGUUGGGUUAAGUCCCGCAACGAGCGCAACCCUUAUUCUUAGUUGCCAUCAUUCAGUUGGGCACUCUAAGGAGACUGCCGGUGAUAAACCGGAGGAAGGUGGGGAUGACGUCAAAUCAUCAUGCCCCUUAUGACCUGGGCUACACACGUGCUACAAUGGACGGUACAAACGGUUGCCAACCCGCGAGGGGGAGCUAAUCCGAUAAAACCGUUCUCAGUUCGGAUUGUAGGCUGCAACUCGCCUAC
rnacentral:rRNA from 1 species